UACGUAGGGUGCAAGCGUUGUCCGGAAUUAUUGGGCGUAAAGGGCUCGUAGGCGGUUUGUCGCGUCGGGAGUGAAAACCUUGGGCUUAACUCAGGGCUUGCUUUCGAUACGGGCAGACUAGAGGUAUGCAGGGGGAGAACGGAAUUCCUGGUGUAGCGGUGAAAUGCGCAGAUAUCAGGAGGAACACCGGUGGCGAAGGCGGAUCUCUGGGCCUUACCUGACGCUCAGGCGCGAAAGCUAGGGGAGCGAACAGG
rnacentral:rRNA from 1 species